GUGAUCACAACAAAAGCGAGCUGGCUCCUCUCUCUCAGGUUUUAACUAGCGGAGCAGCUGCUGCUGAAAUAACUGGAUCUGAGUCAGCACUGCUAACGAAGCAGAGGUCCAGAAUUCUUCCAUUGUUGUUCUCGACAUGGUUGAUCUGUUCAAGCAGACUGGUGCUGUACGAAUCUAAUAGGGAGACUGUGCAUGUCAAAAGUGUUGAGUGAUUGACAUCCAGGUACAGAAAUCCUAAUCUCGAAGGUCUCCAUUUGAUUGCAGAACGCAUUGUUGCGAUCGAAUCCGUGUGAACGGUCAUCGAAGCUACAUCAUGGACGCAGUCAGGUGGUACAUAAACUGUACACAGAAAUAGUAAGUGAUCCAGCACCUUAAUUUCAACCCACACUUGUUCGACGCUUAGCCAAGAGUCAUUUGGAAGGAUGCGGGGUCUUUGCUCACGGCGGAUGGCAAGCAGUACUCCACCUCCAGAAGUUUUUGAACUGUUUAACUGACAGCGAUCGCAGCGAAAAACAUCGUAACUCUUAUCAAAUACCUGAGUGGAUGUGGUACGAUCGCUUAACCAUGUUUCGAUAAAUCUGUACGUGUGGCAACGUGUGCAGGGUGCGGAUCUCAGGCGAACUGUCGCAAUCAUUUGAGACUCACAGAGGACUUCGACAAACGAUGAACUCUCAUGUCUGAUCUUCAACGUUUGCUGAAUGGUAUUAUGCGGAGAGUGGAUUGCCUAGAAUGCCUUACUACAGCAGUGCAAAGAUGGUGUUCGUAUCGAAUCCGAUGGGAACAAGAAGAGGAGGAACCCAGCGAGCGAAGUGGUUCGACCAGGUGGAGCAGGACGUGGCAAUAAUCGGUGUGACCGGGAGUUUAUUUGUUUAAAUUAAAGUUCAUCUGACAGGAUCGUCUUAACGAAGUAAGAUAAUUAUAGAUAGUAAAAAAACACUUUUUUUGACGUAGGACUACGUCUAACCGGAAGAUAUAGGGGGUGAAAUGGAAAUCUAGGCACUGAACAAGUAGGAAAAAAUGCAAGAUUUGGAACGCUUAUAACUCGAGCAUUUCUCAAUAGAUCGCAAAGGUUUUUGCAUCAAUUGAUAGGAAAUAUAUCUACGCAUCUAUCAUAAAGAAUAACAUUUCAUUUUUCUUGAGAUAAAUUGUCAAAAUGCACUAUGUGCCCAUUUUUGAUUGGUCCAUUUUGUGCUCCUCAAAUCGUACCGACCAAAACGGGCAACCAGAGCAGCAGCGAAAUAGAAUGAAGCACGAUUGAAAAGGAAAAAGAAAAAAAUGAACGAAACAUUGGUCGCAGUCUCACACAUGCGUAAUUCUCGGCUGGCUCGUCAGCUUAAAAAUCCCCGCUCCGCUGCCGUAACGAUCAUUCUCAUUCAAACCGUACACCACAUCGGUUCGCAUCACAACACAUCAACAAACCAACCCAAGCAGCCAUGUCUGGACAUGGUAAAGGAGGAAAAGUGAAGGGAAAGGCAAAAUCCCGCUCGUGUUGAUCUGGAGUUCCCCGCAAGGGUUGCUAGGCCGAGCGCGUUAGUACCAGUGCACCAGUCCACCUAGACGGCGUUAUAUAGUUUCGGCCGCCGAAGUGAUCGAGUUAGCUGGCAAAGCUGCUCGCGACGAUAAGAAAACCCGCAUUCGGAACAGAACACAUUCGGUUCGGUGGACAUCAAGACAACAGGCAGUUGCAGCGAGUGGCGAGUGGCAAACGCAAUCGCAAAACGGCAUCAGGUAGCAGAAGAAAAAAGUUUGUUCUUUAUACAAACUGCUUUGGUGGCAAAUCCAGAACAAGGCGGCAUCGAGGGCGUUCGAAAUGGUUUUUUUCAAAACCACGAGUACUGAGUUUUCUAAAUUGGAACCAUUCCAUAAAACAAGGCGCUUUUCAGGGCCAUUAAACCUUCCAAAAAAGAGUUUAGGAAAUACAGUUCAAUGCUUUCUAAAACAUUAUCCAAAAAAUAACAAAACACAAAUUGAUUUUUUCAUCAUUUGUUUGCCAGGAUCUGAUGAGUAUGUGAAUUUUGCAGUUGUUCUGAGCUUAUUGAUUUUCACCAAUUCUUAAAUUGCUUCUUGAUUGAAAGUACAGUAAUUUACACUUAUCUCGACAUUUAGCUAAUUGGACGGACCUGUAAUGCGACAUAUUUAGUUGGACAUUUUUGUAAACAUAGAGUUCGGGGUCCAAAUUAUGACCCCACAUUGAAAGUCGACACUGUACCACUGUCAUCGCAAAUGUUCAAUUACAGGUUAAAAUUACCUCCAAUCCGAUACUGAGUGGUGGUAAUGCGACGUGCCAUUGAAUGUAAUUUACUGUAAAAUAUGUCACAAGCUGGAUGGGAAGAAGUUUUCCAACUGUGAAAGCUGUGGCGAGUGGCAAAUGCAAUCGCUAAACAGAAAGGUUUAGCCGAACAAGAUGAGUAUAUCGAGUGAUAACAAAACAAUAAACUCUUUAGAUUGAAGAUAAUUUUGUGAUCCUGAAAAGGGCCCUUUUUAGCCUGCAUGUGAAUCCAACGAGCGAACAAAUCAUAAUGAAUGUAUUUUUUUGCCAUCGCUCCUUUUUAACGCUCAUUCGUUCGUCUCGUUGGACUCGCCCCUCUGGCUGAGUCUGCCGAUUUGUCUCUAUCCUGUGAGUGUGUACCGCUAGAGUAUAAAACACGCGGACCCAAAAAAAUAUCUUAUUUUCUUUCAAACCGUAAACCCGUGUGGUUGUACGGCAUCGGCAUCGUGGACGUAACAAAGGAGGACAAGUUAAGGGAAAGGCAAAGUCCCACUCGAAUCGUGCAGGUGUGCUGUUCCCUGUUGGUCGCAUUCACUGAUUGCUCCUCAAGGGUAACUAGGCCGAACGGAUUGGUGCCGGAGCACCAGUAUACCUAACAGCGAUUAUAGAGUUUCGGCCGUCGGAGUGCUCGAGUUGGCUUGCAAAGCUGCUCACGACAAUCAGAAAACCCGCAUCAAGAACAGAGCAGCUUCGGUUCGGCGCUCAUCAAGGCAACAAUUAGUUUCAGUGAGUGGCAAAGUGUUUCUCCGGCACGUCGCAUUAAAUGUAAUUUACUGAACCACAUGUCACAAGCUGGAUGGGAAGAAAUUUUCCAACUGUGAAAGUUGUGGCGAGUGGCAAACGCAAUAGCUAAACAGGAAGGUUUAACCGAACAUGAUGGGAAUAUCGAGUGAUAACAAAAACACAACACCAAAGGUUCUUUUCAGAACCAUCAACAUAUUCAUAAAGAGUAAACAGUAAACUAAUCCAUUUUUCAGGUAGAUAGGUAUUCACGUAGGAGAAGAAAAUAAAACAUUAUAUUUAAAAUAUAUAUUUAACAAAAGCUGUCUCCUUUGUAUAGUCCUACGUCACUCCGGUUAUGUCCCCGACAUUACCCACCCGUCUUUUUUAUUAAUCCGUUUAUUUUUACAGGCUCAGUUACAUAAGUUUAAAGGAGCCAUACUCCUGACUAUAUUUCUACUAGCAUACAUUAACAUGUCUCCCCAAUUCCAUGGCUAACAAAAUAGGAAACCGACCACUCGCGGUCGCCUCGAGUUCAGAAGGGUGACACACCUUCACUAGGAAAAGGAUGGGAUGCAAGGAGACGUGUUAACACUCACGCUCACACUCACAUUCACACUUCCACUCACACCGACACCUCACACUCAAUUCCCAAAACCAUCCCUACAUCCAACAUGCAUCCACAAUCCAACCCAUUCCAAUGUUAGUAGGAUGGGAGCCGAUAGCUCGCGAAGGACAAAAAGGAGGGGAAAAGGAUGUAUGAACAACACUUGGGACACGCAAUCAAGGUCCAACCGAGCCAACACACCUCUCACCGGAACACUGAGCUGCCCUCCUUGAGCCCGAAGGGAGCUUCCCAAACUCAAUCCGGCGACAAGACACAACUCGCACGACCAAACAACGUUUUCGAUGUCGUGAUAAAAAAAAACACAUUAAAACAUAACAUUAAGCACAUCUGAAUUCUCUAUCCUGUUUCUGAAGCGUUGUGACGUCUCUUCAAAAUCGAAAAAUUCCUCUACUAACGAAAAUGUCCUUAUCAUUACCGUAAUCGGCUCAUGAUGACCAAACGAUGAACGAUGCGGGAGCGGUUGCUGCAAAUACGAGGAUCGUAGGAUGCGACUGGGAGCGCGAGAGUUCACCAUCUGGAGCAAGUCAGGUGCAUCAAUUUCACCACAAACUAGUUAGCAACGAAAGUGGCUUGUUGUAUACGUCUACUUCGCUCAAGCGUAUCCAGAUUCAGCAAUCGACAAGGUCAAGCAAGCUCUGCAACCGAUGGCAAUCGUCAAGAGUGGUUAGAUAUAUUUUUCAGUCGUCUGCGUAAAUCGAUACAAUGAGCGAUGCAUCGUUAUAAAAGAUCGGGAACAGCAGCGGUCCUACAUUGCUGUCUUGCGGAACUCCAGAAGAAACAGCAAACGGAGAUGAGGUGUGAGACUGAAGUUUGACACGGAGCGUUCUUCCAGAAAGGUAUGACCUCAACCAGUUGAUAAAUCCUUCAGAGGCACCAAGACGCGAAAGUUUUCUCAGUAGGAUCCGGUGGUCAAUUCGAUCGAAAGCGGGUUUUAUGUCGGUGUAGAUAGCAUCAAAUUGAGCACGUUCCUCUAGGUGGUUGACACAAUACGAUGAAAACUCUAGGAGAUUAGUGCUAACCGAGUGUCCUGGCAUAAAACCAUGUUGUACUAAUGAGAUAUAGCACCUGAUUUCGAAGAAGACAACUUCGUUUAUGAUCAGCUCAAAUAGCUUGGAUGCAGUAGAUGAGCUGGUUAUGCCACGAUAUUUAGUCACGAUACUUUUUGAAGACUGGAAACAUAAAGGAGUGCCCUCGGGGAUGCAUAAAGGAGUGCAUAAAGGAGUGCUUCCACACAUCAGGGAAAAUCCCUUGAUCCACCGAAGCUGUGUAGAUAUGGGAGAGUGGUAAAGCCAAAGCUGUAGCACAGCGGCAAAAAAACUAUUGCUGGAAUGCCAUCUGGGCUAGGAACUGUUGAUCAUUUCAACUUUUUCACACCCUUCUCUACCAUCUUUGAAGUAACAGCGAAUGACCGCAAAUCUGUUAAACCCUCCGGAACGUUAGCUGCAGCCCUCUCGGCUUCGGACGGGGUGGCUACAGCUACAAACACUGGAGCGUGUGUUUUCAAAACAAAUCACAAGUUUCAGGAACAGAAGACGACUCCCGAUCGCCCAAGAGCACCUUAGACUAGAUAUCUGCAGUUUUCCGCUUGGAAUCGACAAAAUUUCAGAAACUUCCGGGGUUCCUACGCAAGUUCGUCUGGACACGUAGCUAGUACGAUUUGUAGAGAUUUGUAGUUGCAGUUGGAGAACUGCAGCUUUGGAUCGAUUUCAUUGGUGGAAUAAAGUUGUGAAAAAGAUUCAAUCUCUUCAUUGAAUGUAGCAUCUUUGUAAACAAAUAAUAUAAAGAAAAAAAUUUUGAACCUCGUUAUAUUUUAUGGCACAUCUACCAUUGAGAAUACACACUAUUCAUUCUUGUUUGUGAUGUUAUACACGAAAUUACUCAACUAACACUCAAGUUAUGUAGUUGCUCAAAUCUCCCGUCAUUGAUGGAUAAGUUGUAUUAAUGGCAGCCACAGCUUUUUACCACCAUGUUCUUGUAUUUCUUAAGAUUCACAUUCGCCUCGUCUAUAUGAUAUAGAACGGAAAUUGGAAUCAACUUGGUUGGCGCACAGCACGGUUUUGGGACCUGCAAUUUAAACAUUCUUUUUUAUAGAAACAUAAAUGAUGGUAAGUAUUUCAAUUCUUUACUUUUGUUGGAUGCAUCAAAUGCACGAGCGUUUGAACAAUUGCGUGGUUCGUCGCAUUCAUGUGUGCGUUUAGUGGAAAGUUGCACUCGCCACUACAAUAAAAUGCUCCAUAGCCCUCGGGGGCAAUUAUCCAAUCCUGCGGGGAAAAACCCAUACCGUUGGAAAAAUAGUUCAAUUCUCUGAGAUUUCUUCCUACCUGCCAGUUUAAGUCUUUGAAGCUGACGUACAAGGUUUUUAUCUGGCAACUUUUAUGGUGGUCAAUUGUUUGCUCCAACAGCGGAUUUCGAUUCUCAGAUUUACUUUUCCGCUUUCGCUGUGUAUUUCGUUUGCUCCUCAUAUGAUUAUGUUGAAUGGGUUUUACGGUCUAUGGAGGGAUGAAUCUAUCGUUUAAAGCUAAAUAAAAUAAAAACAUAUUCCUUUUUACCUGUGAUCCCUUACAGUAGGCAACAAGAAAUGGUUGAUGUUUAUCGUCGCCUUUGGUAUUGACUAGACCUAUGUCGUCUAGCUUUAUUUCUUUACCUGGAUAUGAAUUGGAUAAGUUUUAAUCGUAGAAUUAUUUUCAUUUAUUCAUGGACGUUUGAUCAGUACUCCUUAACCCUCUACAGCCCAAGCCCGCCUUUAGACGGGCUUAGCGGAUUCUCUUUUCAAAUUAUUCAUUAUUUUCAAUGUUCACCCCCACUAGAACGUAUUUAGAAUAUUUUCAUCAAUCACACAUAAACAUUGUUUUUAAGCUGGCAGCUUUCUGCUAGGUGUAUUUUAUAUUGAAAGUCGGAAAUUCGAGAUAAAAGUGGAGUAGGUUUUUUUAGAUAAAUAAAAAACUUGGGCGAUAGAGGGUUAAGAAACAUUACCUGGAUUAUGUUUGAAAUAUGCUCCAAUAUAUAAACCCUUAUUCAGUUGAUUAUUGCCAAUCCAUUGCGAAACUACACUUGUCACAUUUAUCUCCAGCCAUCCAUCAUAACCCAAUCCCAAACUUGUUUCCGCUAUCUUCAUUAGCUCUGUUUCUCUGCAACGGGACAUGUUCAACUUGGAAAAGAACAAACAUGUUCAUUUAUUGGUUUUUCAAUGAAUAUAACUUACCCUUCAUAAUUAGUGAUUGAGUAGAUCGCUAUAGUUAUAUUGUCGUUCUCAUUUUUAUACUUAUUUUGUUCGUGUCUCUGGUAAAUACGUAAUUCGGCCAAGAUCAGCUCUGCUUCCGUAUCAUUUACGUCGAACCAGAGUCGUCGUCCCUUUUCAUGGCGUACUUCCGAAACGUGAUGGUCUGGGGAAAAAUCAAAUCAAUCUAUAUACAUUCUGUCCAACAUAUACCGGGAAUUUGUGUUUUAAAUAAAAUAUUUUAUUUCUAAUCAAAAUUUUCAUAACUGUUAAGGAAUUGCUUUCAGUCCACUCAGCGAAUUCGUUUUUGUGUCUUCAAUGCUGUCAAAACGGGCCCCACGAAGCGGUAAUUUGUGUUUCGGAAAUAGGAAAAAACCACACCGAUGUCUCGUCGUCAGGAUGAACGUGAGAUCAGAAUUUGGUCGUUCAAGCAUGUUUCAGCUACUCGAUUGCGAUGAAAAAUUCACAUUUUAGAGAGAAAUAAACACAUUUUACAUAAAAAAUAAUGAACGAUGAUUAAAUUUUCCGUUUAGAAUCAAUAUCCUUCAACACUAAACCUACCGAUGGUUCAUGUAUACCUAUUCCUACCACAGCGGGUCAAGUGACCCUUUAUAAAUAGUUAGUGAACAAUGACUCGAUUUAUAUAGUUUUGUUGAGAAACGUGGCAUACCAUAUUUCUUCUGUAUAUUUCGACAUCUUGGGAUAACAAUUUUUAACAAAAUAUUGAAAUUACAAUUUUUGACAGGUAAUAUAGCACUUUGGCUUGGAAUUGUUACUGUUAGCUCGCUUGGAUAGUCAGCAAUACAAUUAAUUCUGAUCAUUCACUAUUCAUUCACAAUAACAACAAAACAUAUAAAGCAAUAUGCAAAAAAUGUGUAAUACAAUGGUCUUGUAUCACAAUCACACAUACAAAUCUUUCUGAUAUCAUAAAAUGUUUGCAAGGGUCAAAUGACCCGUUGCGGUUGUUAAGGCAGAUAACAUAUAUUUCUCAAAAAAAUAAAUAAAUAAAUAACAAGAGAGGAUAAAACACUGAAAAAUAUAUUCGAUGUAUGUUUUAGGAAAAGAAGUGUAGACAAAUGAUGUUGUGACAAUCUAAUUUGCAAGUAAAUUUUGACUGAAAGUUUAAAAUGGGUCAUUUGACCCCUCGUGGUAGGUUCAGUGUUAACAGAGAAUGAAGUUUUCUGCAAAGGAUCUUGAAUGGUUUUUUUUCUGAUAAGGAUAUUUCACUACAAUGAUGAAAUUUUUGUGGGUAUAUUGAAAUACUUUUAAUACUGGACGAAUAAGAGUAAGGACUUCGAAGUUAAAUAUGCAAGAUCAACCAAUUAUUUAUAUUCAAUAUUAAAAAACUAAUAAUUUCAGGGAUGGUAAUCUAAGAGAGAGUAAUCUAAUUUGUGCUCCCGUGGCCGAGUGGUUAGCGUCAUAACUAACAUGCCGGGUGUUCGGGUUCGAUUCCCGUUCUGGUCGGGGGAAUUUUUCGUCAAAGAAAUUUCCUCCGACUUGCACUGUGAUCACGCGUAUUCUAGAGCUUGCCAUUCAGAAUGCAUUCAAGGCGUGUUAUUUGGCAUAGAAAUCUCAACUAAGUACUAAUAAAAAAUGACGCAAGUAAUACUACGCUGAGACGGCGAAGUUCCUCUAGGAACGUUAGUGCCAUUGAAGAAGAAGAAGAAGAAUCUAAGAGAGAGUAUACUUACUUCGUUACAAAUCAAAAAAAGAAAAAAACAAUCAUUACAAGUUCCGGCGUAUCCGAAAUAUUUCGAAACAAGUGCAAUCACGAUCCUUGUAUUUGGUGCUCAUUAAACUCUAAGCAGGACCCUCAACUGGCAAGUUUUGCUUAUCUUUCAGCUCCUUGCAUCAGUGUCCAGAGCGAAAGACUGUUUUGGCUAUUUUGUUAUGAUUCAUCUUUUGUGGAUGAGAAAUUAUUGCUUUUUUUUUCUAAUAUCCGGUAUUCGGCCCAAUAGCAAAUAUUGGCCGGAUAUGCCGGAUACCGGAUAGUUACCAGACGACAUCCAUUUCAUCUCUAGUUUGGACUGUUGUUGACUGCUUUCCGGUUAGAGAGUAACUGCCUGCUGUGAGGGUUGUGAUACAGUUUUGGAUUCUCUUCAAUAGCUGAAGAGAGGAUAUUAACUCAUCAACCUAAGAUUUAAUUUUCAACAGAGUGGACCAAACAAAUAAGCUUCGGUUGGUCACGCAUAGUGCAAUACACUGCUGAACGUUUAACACUCCUAUACUCGCGCAUUGGUCUGUCAGACCGAGAAAUCAAUAAUUCGUUCAUUUCUCAGAAAAUAUCAACACUACGACUUUGCGAUUCUCUCUAGCUUCGUUAUUCGUAGUUUGUCAUCGUUUAGCGUAUCGCAUGUUGGUACAAAGGGGACGUGUGCCACUUUUUUAACACUUCCGGUCUAACACACCGACGCGAGUAUAGGAGUAACUUUUUGGACAAGUGUCUUUUUUUCAUAUUCUAGAAUAUUGUUGAAUGAAAUGUAUAAAUUAAUGUUAGUGGCGUGGAAUAUUUAUUGAAUAUAAUGCAUAAGAUCAUUACCGGACUAUUCUUAUUUGAUUCAGUCCCUUUUGUUACUGGAUUGAACGGAUCCAUAUAUUAACUAUUCGUCGAUAUAUUCGUCGUUAGAUUCAUACGUUCAAAAGCAAAAUAUAAAUGUUUGACUUUCGUAUAGUUAUUCGCUAAAUAUAAUGGUCAUACAUAUACACACUUGUGAAAGAAUUUCACUUGUGGAAGAAUUGUAAACAGUAAACUAUAAACUAAUCAGUAGCUUAUGGUAAUUUUUAACAGUUACGGUUUCGGGGAUAUUUUUUUAUAAUGGACAAUAUCUAUCGACAAGAAAAGAAGAAAAAGAAAAGGAAAUUCCUAGAAAUCCUUUUAUAUCAUCCUUUUAUGCCUCAUCUAAAAAAAGGCAUUAAUUCUUAGUUUACCAAGAAAACAGAGACAAAGAAUAUUAGAAAUAUGCAAACUUUAUAUUCCAGAACCUUUAUCAUCUGGUGAUUAUCUAGGAGGUCGUUAUACAUUCUUCUCUUCGAUAAAAGACCCGAAAACACAUUUCGAUCAUGUAGUUAUGUUAUAAUAUGUUCUGAUUCUCACUCCAAUGAAACCACAAUCGAUAAAUACGUUUUUAUGUUAUUUUAUAGCUCUUUAUACUUCCAUGAAGGAAGGAAGGAAGGUAUUGAAUUAGAGAGACUUUAAACUCUGAGAGUUCAUUCGUCUCUUACUUCCAUGAGUUAUAUUCAGUUGCGUACAUUUAAUUAAUAACAGUGAAAAAUUCGAAUUUCGUUAUUUGUGUUGGAGUAUCAAAAAUUACUCUAUUUUGAGGAGGCUGAACUAGAUGACUAUUGAAACAUAAUAAAGACGAAGAAAACAUAUUUUUUGGAGUUUUUUCAUUCAGUCAUACCCGCUUCUUCAAAUAAAUGCCAAUAAAGCCAGAAAAAUACACAAUGGCAACAUUACAGAGAAGUUCAAUUUUCGGUCUGUGACACCGUGCGCGAGUAUACGUGUUAUGAUUUAGCACGCGAGUACAGGAGGGUUAAAAUCGCUCCAUGAUAUGCAAUUACACAGCGUGAAAACGUGAGGUUUUCGUACAACCAUAAUUGACGAAUCUACGCAAAGCUGCAUCAGCUCAUGCGACACCUAUAUUAGACCUCAGAACCACAGAAGUGGUGAUGUUUGUUUACUCUACGUACUUAAAAGCGAGAUUCGGUCGAGAUUCUAUUUCUAUUUAGAUUCAUUUCAACCAUUAAGUGUCGUCAGUACAUGGUAAGAAAGUUAGAGUUUUGUAAACCUUAAUCUGAAAGACCCUGUAAUAGGAAUUUUAUAGUGAAAGGAAAUUGUGAAGAGCUAAAUGGAAAUUGUAAAGAUCAAUCAAUGGAAUGUUCUGCGAUUGAACUCGCGAGCGUAAGAAAAGGUGACUUCCUCUCAGUAAUAUUCGAUAUUCUAAAUUUCGCUAACGAUUCAUCCAAUACUUACUUUUAUUCAAAAAUGUCAUAAUAAUAUCGCUUUGAUCGAUCGCUUUGUUGUCUGCUUCAGUGAAAAUAAUGUCCUCAUCGUUGUCGAUACUCCUUUUAUGUCGAGGCUGGAGAAUACUUGUUUCGGCUGAUAAUUUGUCAUACACGUUUAGAAGGAAUUGCGGGGCCGAUUUGCUAAAAGAAAUAGGGAGAAUGAACGUGUUUGUUUAUACAGUAUUUGGCGAUUAUCAUAUGGUCAUUACUGGUCACUUGACUCAGUUUUUUGACGUAGGAUUACGUCUUUCGGGAACAUAUUGGGGUUCAAAUUGAAAAUCGAAAAUCGAGUGCAUCGUGAAAAUUGUCCAAUUUCAAACGCUUAUUACUCAGUCAUUUCAUGAUGGAUUGAUUAAAUUUUUGCGUCAAUCGAUUUCGGCACAUCAUAACAAUUUUUUAUAUUGAAGAAAAUAAUAUAUGUCAUGAAACUUACUAUCGAACAAUUGAAAAAUCUAAACCCCUAUCCUAACGGAAAUACCCACUUUUCAUUGGUCGAAAUUGACGACACAUGCGGCGGGUCCCUAACAGAGACAACAAAACCAAGCUGCCUGAGGGAAAUCGACCUUGCAAAUACAUGAAAGUAGGGGAUCUUUUGUUCCUACCGAAAUGUGUUCCCUAACAGAGACAUCAAAACCAAGCUGCCUGGGGGAAAUCAGCAUUGCAAAUAUAUGCAAGUCGGGGGCAUUUUUGUAUUGCAAGUAAAGUGAGUAAUACGAUUAAUUCUAGCAAAUGAAAUUUAAAUUUGGAACUUUAAUGUUGGUUGCUUGGUGAAAUUUCAUAUCAAUGACUGAUUGUGUAUUGUGAAAGAUUUAACACAAGUGUAAGUGUAAAAUUGUAUAUGGUAGCAGUUGUGUUAAAAAUGACUUGAUAUAUGAAACGAUUUAUUUAAAUUUUCAUAAAUAAAAACCAAGGUGUGUUCCCGCUCGAGAACGGAUUGUUCGCUGUCUGUUUUGUUAUGUUCAUUUUCACCCAAGUAAAGUUUAUACAGCGAGAAAAAUUGGAAAAGUGAAAAUACAUUAGAAAAGGUGAUUUUCCAUAUGCUCUACAUAUAGUAUAAGAUGUUGUUAGUCCAAAUAAAAUUCGCAAUAAACACUCAGAAAGUAAACAUUAUAAAGAAAAUUAUUUUUUCCAUUUCAAAUAUGUUUUCUCUAUAUUAAAGUAACAUGUUUUAACUGAUGAGAAACAUUGAUAAUUGUCUUCGGUAUUGGUAAUUAUCUUAUAUUACAUUGGUGAGUUUUGUUUUUUUAUUUCAUCCAUACAUAUCACAGGAGGCAUCUCGUCUAGGUUCACAGAGGGCGGUUUUCAUCAUAUAUCGUUCCAAUUCGGUAUCUUUUAUCUGAUACGCACCAUCCAACGACUGUUUACCAUCCUUCUGUCAUCAUCACUCGGUAAACACUGGUGGAGUGAACAAACAAUACCCAACAACCAAACAAAUCGACCCUUUUCAGGACCACCAAAUAAUUAUC